GACGAACGCUGGCGGCGUGCUUAACACAUGCAAGUCGAACGGUGAAGCUCCAGCUUGCUGGAGUGGAUCAGUGGCGAACGGGUGAGUAACACGUGAGCAACCUGCCCCUGACUCUGGAAUAAGCGCUGGAAACGGCGUCUAAUACUGGAUACGAGAAGGGUCCGCAUGGGCACUUUCUGGAAAGUUUUUCGGUUGGGGAUGGGCUCGCGGCCUAUCAGCUUGUUGGUGAGGUAAUGGCUCACCAAGGCGACGACGGGUGCCGGCCUGAGAGGGCGACCGGCCACACUGGGACUGAGACACGGCCCAGACUCCUACGGGAGGCAGCAGUGGGGAAUAUUGCACAAUGGGCGAAAGCCUGAUGCAGCGACGCCGCGUGAGGGAUGACGGCCUUCGGGUUGUAAACCUCUUUCAGCAGGGAAGAAGCGAAAGUGACGGUACCUGCAGAAGAAGCACCGGCUAACUACGUG
rnacentral:rRNA from 1 species